rnacentral:rRNA from 1 species
AAAAGUGAAAGACGGUCUUGCUGUCACUUAUAGAUGGAUCCGCGCUGCAUUAGCUAGUUGGUAAGGUAACGGCUUACCAAGGCAACGAUGCAUAGCCGACCUGAGAGGGUGAUCGGCCACACUGGAACUGAGACACGGUCCAGACUCCUACGGGAGGCAGCAGUAGGGAAUCUUCCGCAAUGGGCGAAAGCCUGACGGAGCAACGCCGCGUGAGUGAUGAAGGUCUUCGGAUCGUAAAACUCUGUUAUUAGGGAAGAACAUAUGUGUAAGUAACUGUGCACAUCUUGACGGUACCUAAUCAGAAAGCCACGGCUAACUACGUGCCAGCAGCCGCGGUAAUACGUAGGUGGCAAGCGUUAUCCGGAAUUAUUGGGCGUAAAGCGCGCGUAGGCGGUUUU